AAGGCCAAUCAAACCGGGAGAUAGCUGGUUCUCCCCGAAAGCUAUUUAGGUAGCGCCUCGUGAAUUCAUCUCCGGGGGUAGAGCACUGUUUCGGCUAGGGGGCCAUCCCGGCUUACCAACCCGAUGCAAACUGCGAAUACCGGAGAAUGUUAUCACGGGAGACACACGGCGGGUGCUAACGUCCGUCGUGAAGAGGGAAACAACCCAGACCGCCAGCUAAGGUCCCAAAGUCAUGGUUAAGUGGGAAACGAUGUGGGAAGGCCCAGACAGCCAGGAUGUUGGCUUAGAAGCAGCCAUCAUUUAAAGAAAGCGUAAUAGCUCACUGGUCGAGUCGGCCUGCGCGGAAGAUGUAACGGGGCUAAACCAU
rnacentral:rRNA from 1 species